rnacentral:rRNA from 2 species
GGACUACAAGGGUAUCUAAUCCCGUUUGCUCCCCUGGCUUUCGCGCCUCAGCGUCAGAGGGGACCCAGCGGACCGCUUUCGCCACCGGCGUUCCUUCCGAUAUCAACGCAUUUCACCGCUCCACCGGAAGUUCCGUCCGCCCCUAUCCCCCUCGAGCCGCGCAGUAUCGGAGGCACGCUUCCGGUUGGGCCGAAAGAUUUCACCCCCGACUUGCGCGGCCGCCUACGCGCCCUUUAAGCCCAGUGAUUCCGAACAACGUUCGCACGGUUCGUCUUACCGCGGCGGCUGGCAC